UGGGGUUGCGGACAUAUCAUAACGAAGAGGUAUCGUAAUUGAAGAGGUUUGGAAAGACCCACCACAGAAGGUAAUAGUCCUGUAUGUUAAACGAGAAGACUUUAGAUAUGAUCCAGAGUACCACGGGACACGUGAAACCCUGUGGGAAGCAGGAGGGACCACCCUCCAAGGCUAAAUACUACCUAGUGACCGAUAGCGUAUAGUACCGUGAGGGAAAGGUGAAAAGAACCCCGGGAGGGGAGUGAAAUAGAACCUGAAACCCUGCACUUACAAGCUGUGGAAGCACAUUUCUUGUGUGACCGCGUACUUUUUGUAGAACGGGCCAACGAGUUACGUUAAGUAGCAAGGUUAAGCACUUAAGGUGUGGAGCCGUAGCGAAAGCGAGUUUUAACUGAGCGUUCAGUUACUUGACGUAGACCCGAAACCGGGCGACCUACCCAUGAGCAGGAUGAAGCGAAAGUAAAAUUUCGUGGAGGUCCGAACCCACGAGCGUUGAAAAGCUCGGGGAUGACUUGUGGGUAGCGGUGAAAUUCCAAUCGAGCCCGGAGAUAGCUGGUUCUCCCCGAAAUAGCUUUAGGGCUAGCCUCAAGGUGAGAGAUACGGAGGUAGAGCACUGAAUGUCCUAGGGGGUAUUGCACCUACCGAAGACUAUCAAACUCCGAAUGCCGUCAUCUUAUACUUGGGAGUCAGACUGUGGGUGAUAAGAUUCAUAGUCGAAAGGGCAACAGCCCAGAUCGUCAGCUAAGGUCCCUAAAUGUAAGUUAAGUGGUAAAGGAUGUGGGAUUGCACAGACAACCAGGAUGUUGGCUUAGAAGCAGCCACUCAUUCAAAGAGUGCGUAAUAGCUCACUGGUCGAGUGAUCCUGCGCCGAAGAUUUCCGGGGCUAAAACUUACUACCGAAGCUACGGCAUCAGUAAUGAUGGGUAGGGGAGCUUCCCAUACGGGUUGAAGCAUGACCGUAAGGACAUGUGGACAGUAUGGGAGUGAGAAUGUUGGCAUGAGUAGCGAGAUGUGGGUGAGAAUCCCACAGGCCGUAAACCCAAGGUUUCCAGGGGAAGGUUCGUCCGCCCUGGGUUAGUCGGGACCUAAGCUGAGGCCGAAAGGCGUAGGUGAUGGACAACAGGUUGAUAUUCCUGUACUACCGAUAACCGUUUGAGAGAAGGGAUGACACAGUAGGAUAAGCUAAGCACACUGUUGGUUAUGUGUGCCCAAGCAUUGAGGCAGUCAAAGUAGGCAAAUCCGCUUUGAUAAUGCUGGGAUGUGAUGGGGAGCGAAAUUUAGUAGCGAAGUAGCUGAUUUCACACUGUCAAGAAAAGUCUCUAUCGAGGUUAAAGGUACCCGUACCGCAAACCGACACAGGUGGGUGAGGAGAGUAUCCUAAGGCCAGCGAGAGAACUGUUGUUAAGGAACUCGGCAAAAUGACCCCGUAACUUAGGGAUAAGGGGUGCCACCAUCAGGUGGCCGCAGAGAAUAGGCCCAAGCGACUGUUUACCAAAAACAUAGGUUUCUGCUAAGUCGCAAGACGAUGUAUAGGAGCUGACGCCUGCCCGGUGCUGGAAGGUUAAGGGGAUCUGUUAGAGCAAUCGAAGCAGUGAACUUAAGCCCCAGUAAACGGCGGCCGUAACUAUAACGGUCCUAAGGUAGCGAAAUUCCUUGUCGGGUAAGUUCCGACCCGCACGAAAGGCGUAACGAUUUGGGCACUGUCUCAACAACAGACUCGGUGAAAUUGUAAUUCCGGUGAAGAUGCCGGAUACCUGCGACAGGACGGAAAGACCCCAUGGAGCUUUACUGUAGCUUGACAUUGGGUCUUGGUACUACAUGUACAGGAUAGGUGGGAGGCUUUGAAACCAGGACGCCAGUUUUGGCGGAGCCAUCCUUGGGAUACCACCCUUGUAGUACUGGGACUCUAACCAUAGGCCAUGAAUCUGGUCUUGGGACACUGUCAGGUGGGCAGUUUGACUGGGGCGGUCGCCUCCCAAAAGGUAACGGAGGCGCUCAAAGGUUCUCUCAGUACGGUCGGAAAUCGUACGUAGAGUGUAAAGGCAAAAGAGAGCUUGAUUGCAAGACAUACAGGUCGAGCAAGGAUGAAAAUCGGACUUAGUGAUCCGGUGGUUCUGCGUGGAAGGGCCAUCGCUCAACGGAUAAAAGCUACCCUGGGGAUAACAGGCUUAUCUCCCCCAAGAGUCCACAUCGACGGGGAGGUUUGGCACCUCGAUGUCGGCUCAUCACAUCCUGGGGCUGUAGUAGGUCCCAAGGGUUGGGCUGUUCGCCCAUUAAAGUGGUACGCGAGCUGGGUUCAGAACGUCGUGAGACAGUUCGGUCCCUAUCCGUCGCAGGCGUAGGAAAUUUGAGAAGACCUGUCCUUAGUACGAGAGGACCGGGAUGGACGUACCUCUGGUGUACCAGUUGUCCUGCCAAGGGCAUGGCUGGGUAGCUAUGUACGGAAUGGAUAAGCGCUGAAAGCAUCUAAGCGCGAAGCCAACUUCAAGAUAAGAUUUCCCACCGCAAGGGUAAGACCCCAGAAAGACUAUCUGGUUGAUAGGUCGAAGGUGUAAGUGCAGCAAUGUAUUUAGCUUAUCGAUACUAAUAGGUCGAGGACUUGACCAAU
rnacentral:rRNA from 1 species